UCGCACCUACCGAUUGAAUGAUUCGGUGAAAAUCUCGGACCGUUACAUUGAGCUCUUCAUUGAGCACAAAGUUAUGGGAAGUUAUUUAAACCUCAUCAUUUAGAGGAAGGUG
rnacentral:rRNA from 1 species